rnacentral:rRNA from 1 species
GAUGAACGCUGGCGGCGUGCCUAAUACAUGCAAGUCGAGCGAACGGACGAGAAGCUUGCUUCUCUGAUGUUAGCGGCGGACGGGUGAGUAACACGUGGAUAACCUUCCUAUAAGACUGGGAUAACUUCGGGAAACCGGAGCUAAUACCGGAUAAUAUUUUGAACCGCAUGGUUCAAAAGUGAAAGACGGUCUUGCUGUCACUUAUAGAUGGAUCCGCGCUGCAUUAGCUAGUUGGUAAGGUAACGGCUUACCAAGGCAACGAUGCAUAGCCGACCUGAGAGGGUGAUCGGCCACACUGGAACUGAGACACGGUCCAGACUCCUACGGGAGGCAGCAGUAGGGAAUCUUCCGCAAUGGGCGAAAGCCUGACGGAGCAACGCCGCGUGAGUGAUGAAGGUCUUCGGAUCGUAAAACUCUGUUAUUAGGGAAGAACAUAUGUGCAAGUAACUGUGCACAUCUUGACGGUACCUAAUCAGAAAGCCACGGCUAACUACGUG